CUCCUACGGGAGGCUGCAGUGGGGAAUUUUGGACAAUGGGCGCAAGCCUGAUCCAGCCAUGCCGCGUGCGGGAAGAAGGCCUUCGGGUUGUAAACCGCUUUUGUCAGGGAAGAAACGGCCUUUUCUAAUACAGAGGGCUAAUGACGGUACCUGAAGAAUAAGCACCGGCUAACUACGUGCCAGCAGCCGCGGUAAUACGUAGGGUGCAAGCGUUAAUCGGAAUUACUGGGCGUAAAGCGUGCGCAGGCGGCUUUGCAAGACAGAUGUGAAAUCCCCGGGCUCAACCUGGGAACUGCAUUUGUGACUGCAUGGCUAGAGUACGGUAGAGGGGGAUGGAAUUCCGCGUGUAGCAGUGAAAUGCGUAGAUAUGCGGAGGAACACCGAUGGCGAAGGCAAUCCCCUGGACCUGUACUGACGCUCAUGCACGAAAGCGUGGGGAGCAAACAGGAUUAGAUACCCUGGUAGUCCACGCCCUAAACGAUGUCAACUGGUUGUUGGACGGCUUGCUGUUCAGUAACGAAGCUAACGCGUGAAGUGACCGCC
rnacentral:rRNA from 1 species